rnacentral:rRNA from 1 species
UACAGAGGGUGCAAGCGUUAAUCGGAAUUACUGGGCGUAAAGCGCGCGUAGGUGGUUCGUUAAGUUGGAUGUGAAAUCCCCGGGCUCAACCUGGGAACUGCAUCCAAAACUGGCGAGCUAGAGUAUGGUAGAGGGUGGUGGAAUUUCCUGUGUAGCGGUGAAAUACGUAGAUAUAGGAAGGAACACCAGUGGCGAAGGCGACCACCUGGACUGAUACUGACACUGAGGUGCGAAAGCGUGGGGAGCAAACAGG